rnacentral:rRNA from 1 species
GACGAACGCUGGCGGCGUGCUUAACACAUGCAAGUCGAGCGGUAAGGCCCUUUCGGGGGUACACGAGCGGCGAACGGGUGAGUAACACGUGGGUGACCUGCCCUCAGCUCUGGGAUAAGCCUGGGAAACCGGGUCUAAUACUGGAUAUGACUCCAUGACGCAUGUUGUGGGGUGGAAAGCCUUGUGCGGCUGAGGAUGGGCCCGCGGCCUAUCAGCUUGUUGGUGGGGUGANGGCCUACCAAGGCGACGACGGGUAGCCGGCCUGAGAGGGCGACCGGCCACACUGGGACUGAGACACGGCCCAGACUCCUACGGGAGGCAGCAGUGGGGAAUCUUGCGCAAUGGGCGAAAGCCUGACGCAGCAACGCCGCGUGGAGGAUGAAGGCCCUUGGGUUGUAAACUCCUGUCGGCUGGGAAGAAAUCCUUCGUGCUCAUACCCACGGAGGUUGACUGUACCAGCAAA